AAAAAAUUAGUUAAAUAAUAUAACAUUAGUUUGUCAAACUAAAAUUAUCUCAAUUAAUUGAUAUUUUUUA
rnacentral:tRNA from 1 species